GAUGAACGCUAGCUACAGGCUUAACACAUGCAAGCCGAGGGGAAACGGCAUUUAGUGCUUGCACUGAAUGGACGUCGACCGGCGCACGGGUGAGUAACGCGUAUCCAACCUACCCAUUACUGUGGGAUAACCUGCCGAAAGGCAGACUAAUACCGCAUAGUCUUCGAUGACGGCAUCAGAUUUGAAGUAAAGAUUUAUCGGUAAUGGAUGGGGAUGCGUCUGAUUAGCUUGUUGGCGGGGUAACGGCCCACCAAGGCAACGAUCAGUAGGGGUUCUGAGAGGAAGGUCCCCCACAUUGGAACUGAGACACGGUCCAAACUCCUACGGGAGGCAGCAGUGAGGAAUAUUGGUCAAUGGGCGCGAGCCUGAACCAGCCAAGUAGCGUGCAGGAUGACGGCCCUAUGGGUUGUAAACUGCUUUUGUAUGGGGAUAAAGUCAAUCACGUGUGAUUGUUUGCAGGUAC
rnacentral:rRNA from 1 species